UACGAAGGGGGCUAGCGUUGCUCGGAAUCACUGGGCGUAAAGGGUGCGUAGGCGGGUCUUUUAAGUCAGGGGUGAAAUCCUGGAGCUCAACUCCAGAACUGCCUUUGAUACUGAAGAUCUUGAGUUCGGGAGAGGUGAGUGGAAUUCCCAGUGUAGAGGUGAAAUUCGUAGAUAUUGGGAAGAACACCGGUGGCGAAGGCGGCUCACUGGCUCAUUACUGACGCUCAGGCGCGAUAGCGUGGGGAUCAAACAGG
rnacentral:rRNA from 1 species